CGACGCUCUACCGAGCUAGUUGCUGAAGUGGUAAAAGUGUUGAAGUGGAAAAGAAGAGUUGUUGGAAUUUAUGGCAGUGGCCAAGAAGAGAAGCCU